rnacentral:rRNA from 1 species
GGAUUAGUGGCGAACGGGUGAGUAACACGUGAGUAACCUGCCCUUAACUCUGGGAUAAGCCUGGGAAACUGGGUCUAAUACCGGAUAUGACUCCUCAUCGCAUGGUGGGGGGUGGAAAGCUUUAUUGUGGUUUUGGAUGGACUCGCGGCCUAUCAGCUUGUUGGUGAGGUAAUGGCUCACCAAGGCGACGACGGGUAGCCGGCCUGAGAGGGUGACCGGCCACACUGGGACUGAGACACGGCCCAGACUCCUACGGGAGGCAGCAGUGGGGAAUAUUGCACAAUGGGCGAAAGCCUGAUGCAGCGACGCCGCGUGAGGGAUGACGGCCUUCGGGUUGUAAACCUCUUUCAGUAGGGAAGAAGCGAAAGUGACGGUACCUGCAGAAGAAGCGCCGGCUAACUACGUGCCAGCAGCCGCGGUAAUACGUAGGGCGCAAGCGUUAUCCGGAAUUAUUGGGCGUAAAGAGCUCGUAGGCGGUUUGUCGCGUCUGCCGUGAAAGUCCGGGGCUCAACUCCGGAUCUGCGGUGGGUACGGGCAGACUAGAGUGAUGUAGGGGAGACUGGAAUUCCUGGUGUAGCGGUGAAAUGCGCAGAUAUCAGGAGGAACACCGAUGGCGAAGGCAGGUCUCUGGGCAUUAACUGACGCUGAGGAGCGAAAGCAUGGGGAGCGAACAGGAUUAGAUACCCUGGUAGUCCAUG